rnacentral:rRNA from 1 species
UACGUAGGGUGCAAGCGUUGUCCGGAAUUAUUGGCGUAAAGAGCUCGUAGGCGGUCUGUCGCGUCUGCUGUGAAAACUCAGGGCUUAACCCUGAGCUUGCAGUGGGUACGGGCAGACUAGAGUGCGGUAGGGGAGACUGGAAUUCCGUGGUGUAGACGGUUGAAAUGCGCAGAUAUCGAGGAGGAACACCGGUAGGCGAAGGCGGGUCGUCUGGGCCGUAACUGACGCUGGAGGAGCGGAAAGCAUGGGGAGCGAACAGG